rnacentral:rRNA from 1 species
UAAUUGAUCUUGAUUAUCCUACUUGGAUAACUGUGGAAAUUCUAGAGCUAAUACGCGCAAUAAAGCUCCGACCUUUCGGGACGAGCGCAUUUAUUAGACCAAAACCAAUCGGGCUUCGGCCUGAGCGGUGGUGACUCUGAAUAACUAAGCUGAUCGCACGGUCUUAGUACCGGCGACGCAUCUUUCAAGUGUCUGCCUUAUCAACUUUCGAUGGUAGUUUAUGUGCCUACCAUGGUUGUAACGGGUAACGGAGAAUAAGGGUUCGACUCCGGAGAGGGAGCCUGAGAAACGGCUACCACAUCCAAGGAAGGCAGCAGGCGCGCAAAUUACCCACUCAGGGCACGAGGAGGUAGUGCGAAAAAUACCGCCCCUAAAGGGUCGAGGCCGCAUGGAUGGUAC